UACGUAGGCAGCGAGCGUUGUUCGGAGUUACUGGGCGUAAAGGGUGCGUAGGCGGUUGUUUAAGUUUGGUGUGAAAUCUCCCGGCUCAACUGGGAGGGUGCGCCGAAUACUGAAUGACUAGAGUGCGGGAGAGGAGAGUGGAAUUCCUGGUGUAGCGGUGAAAUGCGCAGAUAUCAGGAAGAACACCCGUGGCGAAGGCGGCUCUCUGGGACGGUACUGACGCUGAGACGCGAAAGCGUGGGGAGCGAACAGG
rnacentral:rRNA from 1 species